rnacentral:rRNA from 1 species
UUUAUGGAGAGUUUGAUCCUGGCUCAGGACGAACGCUGGCGGCGUGCCUAAUACAUGCAAGUCGAGCGGACUUGAUGGAGUGCUUGCACUCCUGAUAGUUAGCGGCGGACGGGUGAGUAACACGU